rnacentral:rRNA from 1 species
GGAUAACCGCUGAAAGCAUCUAAGUGGGAAGCCCACCUCAAGAUGAGUAUUCCCAUGGCGUUAGCCAGUAAGGUCACGGGAAGAACACCCGUUGAUAGGCUCUAUGUGGAAGCGCAGUAAUGCGUGAAGCAGAGGAGUACUAAUAGACCGAGGGCUUGACCAA